rnacentral:sRNA from 1 species
UUAAAAGAAAUUAUAGUUUUACUUACAACUAAUUUCAAAAAUAUUUGGUUUUUAGAGUUCAUAAAUAAGUAGAUGAAAAUAUCAUCAAUAAUAAACAAUUUCAUUUUAUGAUUUUAUAAUCUAUGGUUUCUUAAAAAGCAACCUUGAUGAAUUAAACAAAAAUACAAAAGGAGGAAAUGUUUUAGGCAUAAAACUGACAUAACGGUUGAUCCUGAUACAUCCAUGAUAUUUGCAUCUGAAGCACGGUGGACGGAACAUGAGUAUGUAAGUACACUAAAUAUUUUUAUUCACCAACCUAUGUUUAAAUUUUUUUAUUAUAAAAAAAUCUAAU